GCCUCUAUGGCGCAGUGGUAACGGUGAGUCACUUCAGGCAGUUUUUCUAGCACCCAUAGUCUGACAGUGCUCCAGCGUCGCACUUGUACAGCUGAAAGAAUACUUUCUCCUCUGGCAAUCAAUGCGAAGAUCACAAGUUCAAUUCUUGUUGGAGGCA
rnacentral:tRNA from 1 species